UACGUAGGGGGCUAGCGUUGUCCGGAAUCAUUGGGCGUAAAGCGCGUGUAGGCGGCCAGAUAGGUCCGUUGUGAAAACUCGAGGCUCAACCUCGAGACGCCGAUGGAAACCAUUUGGCUAGAGUCCGGAAGAGGAGAGUGGAAUUCCUGGUGUAGCGGUGAAAUGCGCAGAUAUCAGGAAGAACACCCGUGGCUAAGGCGGCUCUCUAGUACGGUACUGACGCUGAGACGCGAAAGCGUGGGGAGCGAACAGG
rnacentral:rRNA from 1 species